UCCUUUGGGCUGCUUCCCUGCUUUUCUUGGCUUCCCUGCAUGGCAGAACACUAGCACUGCCUGCUUGCCCAGCCCCACCCUUCCCUGAUCUUUCAGGAUGCAGCCCUCCUCUAGGUCCCUAGCCUGGUAUCUCUGCUGGGGUCCUGGCCCCCACCCACUCAAAAGACAUCCUGCAGCACUUCCUGCUGUGCCCUCCUGGGACCUCCUGUUGUCACUCUCCCUGAGGUGGCCCUUUUCAUGAUCCCUUUACCAGGAUGCUCACCAGGGCCAGGGUACUGGACCUGGCCUUUGGCCCUGCAGGCUCUCUUUUGGAAAAUGUAGUCCUUCCCCUUUUUCUGGACCCUUUGGCCUCCCUCAGCCUGGGCCCAGCUCCCAAACCCUGACACCCAUCAAUGGACCUGAGCCUUGAGCCCUCCUCUUCCUGCACCAGCUGUGCCCCUUUCUUCCCUCCCUCCCCUCCCUAGAUGUAUCUGUUUUCAUGGGACCCCUGCCCAGGCCAAUGCACUUGAAUCUCCAUUCCUGGGCUGGGCUGUUGCUUGAGGCCACCCUUCUCUAGGACCCUGUCCCUUUUCCUUGAUUCCAAACACCUUUUUUGAGCCCCCUCCUGUGCUUCCCUUCUGUUCUCCUUCUAUUGAAUUGUCACCCCCUUCCUCUACAGAAAAGUCUUAACUGGGCUUCUCCAGAAUUUUUUACCAUGGCUGUUUUUAGGACUGUCAGAAAAAGAAUCUCUGCAAAAAAGCUCACUGUUGAUUAACUUUCUAUUUUCCUAUUGCCCUGUUUUACUUGGCCACCAGCCAAGUAGAUAACAACACUCCAGGUGCUGGGCACCCCUUACUAGCUUUUCACAAACAUAUCCAGUAUAGUACUUUGUAGAAAUGUGUAAACAAGGCUGCUGGCCUUGAGCUGGGCUUCACAGAGAUGUCUACAUUUUUAAGAUAUGCUACCAACUGGGCUCCAUGGUAACAACUGGCAGGGAGAGGAAAAAUGGGGAAAAGAAGCUCUCCCCUUUUCAGGAGUUGUCUUUGAAGAGUUAACUUGCCCAAAACAGUGAAAGAAAAAGCUGAUUUUAUGUGAAAUUUUUCAGACUGUGAACUUCUGAACCUCUCCCCUUACUUGCUGGGUAUAAAAUUCUGAAACUACCUGAACUCGGGUUUCAUGGGAUUGAUUGAUUACAGCAAAAGCAGUGCCCUCUAAGCCUGGUUGCAGCCAAAUAAAACUGUUUCCUGCUAUGUUCCGUGCCUUGCCUCGUUUGUCCCUAAAACAUUUGUGGGGACCCAGAUGGGACAGAGGAUGUAGGAAAGGCUAUUGUGCCUCUCUUAUCUCUGGGGACCCACUUCCCUGGGGUGGUGGGGGUCAGCGUUCCCCUUGGCUCACCCAGGCAACUCUUGGCCUGAAGGA
rnacentral:lncRNA from 1 species